UCUGCCCGCUGGCGGCGUGCCUAAUACAUGCAAGUCGAGCGAACAGACGAGGAGCUUGCUCCUCUGACGUUAGCGGCGGACGGGUGAGUAACACGUGGAUAACCUACCUAUAAGACUGGGAUAACUUCGGGAAACCGGAGCUAAUACCGGAUAAUAUAUUGAACCGCAUGGUUCAAUAGUGAAAGACGGUUUUGCUGUCACUUAUAGAUGGAUCCGCGCCGCAUUAGCUAGUUGGUAAGGUAACGGCUUACCAAGGCAACGAUGCGUAGCCGACCUGAGAGGGUGAUCGGCCACACUGGAACUGAGACACGGUCCAGACUCCUACGGGAGGCAGCAGUAGGGAAUCUUCCGCAAUGGGCGAAAGCCUGACGGAGCAACGCCGCGUGAGUGAUGAAGGUCUUCGGAUUGUAAAACUCUGUUAUUAGGGAAGAACAAAUGUGUAAGUAACUAUGCACGUCUUGACGGUACCUAAUCAGAAAGCCACGGCUAACUACGUG
rnacentral:rRNA from 1 species